AAUGCGUAGAGAUCUGGAGGAAUACCGAUGGCGAAGGCAGCCUUCUGGCAUCAUAUUGACACUGAGGUUCGAAAGCGUGGGUAGCAAACAGGAUUAGAUACCCUGGUAGUCCACGCCGUAAACGAUGUCUACUAGCCGUUGGGGGGCUUGACCCUUUAGUGGCGAAGCUAACGCGAUAAGUAGACCGCCUGGGGAGUACGGCCGCAAGGUUAAAACUCAAAUGAAUUGACGGGGGCCCGCACAAGCGGUGGAGCAUGUGGUUUAAUUCGAUGCAACGCGAAGAACCUUACCAGGUCUUGACAUCC
rnacentral:rRNA from 1 species